rnacentral:tRNA from 1 species
AACCUUAUAGUCAAUAAAAUGAUAUAAAAUUGCAAAUUUUAAGUAAUAAAUAUAAAUUAUUAAGGUUU